CAGGAGGUGUGCUUGGGCUUCUGCCACCCUUGGCUGCUUCGGUUCCAUUGCCGUGCCCUUCUGAGAGAGAGUAUCUGGCCCAUAUGGGCAAUGUGUCCACACCUCUGACCUUUGGAGAAGUCCUUAACUUCCGGAACGGACUGUGCUGCCCAGAGAAGCGUCGUGUCCCCGUUGCAAAGCCAUGGAGGUGGCAGAAUGACACCUGAGGAGCGCCCUGGGGUUUUGUCGGGUGGAAAUCAUUAACCUGGUAGCGCCUGAGCUACUGAGGAGUGAGUACGAAGAGAGGAAGCAGAAGCCACACCUUUAGCCCCCUCCUCCAAGAGGACCUGCCACGGCGGAAGUAGAGCCAUAGACAGAGACAGACAGAGAGAAAGAUCUUCCUUUCAUUGGUUCACCCCACAAAUGGCCGCUACGGCCAGAGCUACGUUGAUCCGAAGCUAGGAGCCAGGUGUUUCUUCCUGGUCUCCCACAUGGGUGCAGGCGCCCAAGCACUUGGGCCAUCCCCCACUGCCUUCCUGGGCCACAGCAGAGAGUUGGACUGCAAGAGGAGCAAUUGGUACUAGAACCCAGCGUCCAUAUGGGAUGCCGGCGCCGCAGACAGAGGAUUAACCAAGUGAGCCACGACACUGGCCCCACACAGCAUAAUUUCUUCAAGGUUCAUCCAUGUCAUCACAUGUUGAAGAAUUUCAUUCUUUUGAUGGCUGACUAGUAGUCCACUGUGUGUAUGAGUAUAUACCAUAUUAUCUUUAUCCUUUUGUCAGUAAAUAUUUAUUUAAAGAUUUAUUUUGUUUAUUUGAAAUAGUUACAGAGAGAGGUAGAGACAGAGAGGAGAGGUCUUUCAUCCGCUGAUUCACUCCCCAAAUGGCCAUAACAGGCAGAAUUGAGCUGAUCCAAAGCCAGGAGCCAGGAGCUUCUUCCUGGUAUCCCACAUGGGUGCUGGGGUCCAAGGACCUGGGCCAUCCUCCGCUGCUUUCCCAGGCGCAUUAUCAGGGAGCUGGUUCGGAAGUGGAGCAACUGGGACUUGAACCGGCAUCCAUAUGGAAUGCCAGUGCUGCAGGCCAGGGCUUUAACCUGCUGUGUCACAGUGCCAGGCCCGUCAGUAAAAAUUUAUGUUGUUUCUACGUCUUGGUUCUAUUGUAGAUGAGAUUGUUUUCCUAGUUUCAUUUUCAGGUAGUUUGUUAGUGUAUAGAAAUGCAAUUUAUUGCAGCUGAAUUCACAAUAGCUAAGACCUGGAAUCAACCUAAAUGCCCAUCAACAGAAGACUGAAUAAAGAAAUUAUGGGAUAUGUACUCUAUAGAAUACUAUAUAGUGGUUAAAAAAAAAGAAAGAAAUCUGGUCAUUUGAAACAAAAUGGAGGAAUCUGGAAAAUAUCUUGCUGAGUGAAAUAAGCCAGUCCCAAAGGGACAAAUAUCAUAUGUUCUUCCUGAUCUGUGACAACUCACUGAGCACCUAAAAGGAAACCUGUUGAAGUGAAACUGACACUGUGAGAAACAAUGUGUUGAUCAGCCCUUGUCUUGACUGUCGAUGAACAACUUACUAUUUUAUUCUUUUUAGUAUUUUCUUGUUCUACUUAAUACCAUUGGUUGAACUCUUUAAUUAAUACACAAUUAUUCUUAGGUGUUUAAAUUUAACUGAAAAUAAGAGUGAGAAUAACAAAGGGAGGAGAUGUACAGUUUGGUACAUGCUCACUUGGACUUACCUCUAAUGGUAGAGCUAGAAUCAUACCAUGGGACUCCAAAUCCCAUUAAGUUGGCACGUACCAAUACCAUCUUAAAUACCAUCAGUUUAAGUUCAUAAUUGAACAUAAAGAUAGGAUUAAGUGUCAAAGGGAUCACAUAAACAAGACCAGUGUCUGCUAAUACUAACUGAUAGAAUUAAAAAGGAGAGAACAAUCCAACAUGGGAAGCGGGAUACACAGCAGACUCAUAGAAUGGCAAAUGCCUUAAACAGCACGCUGGCCUCAGAAUCAGCCCUUAAGACAUUCGGAUCUGGCUAAAAAGCCCAUGAGAGUUUCUCAGGCAUGGAAAGCCAAGUCCCUAUGGCAAAAAAAUGACCUAAGUGAAAGAUCUCUGUGAGUGAGAUCCCAGCGGAAAGAACAGGCCAUCAAAGUAGGAGAUAUCUUUCUCUGAUGGGAGGAGAGAACUUCUAUUUUGAUUAUGGCCUUGUCUAAAUAAGGUUGGAGUUGGUGAACUCUAGGCUUCCAUAGCCUUGGCAGCUUCAGGUGAUUACUGACGUCAUAAAUAAGAGUGUCAGUUAUUAAAUCAACAACAGGAGUCACUGUGCACUUACUCCCCAUGUCGGAUCUCCAUCCUUAAUGUGUUGUACCAUGCGAAUUAAUGGUAAAACUAGUGUUCAAACAGUACUUUAUACUUUGUGUGUCUGUGUGGGUGUAAACUAUUGAAAUCUCUACUUAGUAUAUGCUAAGUUGAUCUUCUGUAUAUAAAGAUAAUUAAAAAUGAAUCUUAAUGAA